UAUUUAAAGAGAGUUUAUUCAAGCACAAAGAUUGAGGACUCCAGCUUCAUCAGGAAUUCUCCUUAGUUUACAGAAAUAACAUUGGUAGUUACUGGCUAUAUAUUAUUAAACUACAGGGUGUGAUAUAGUUUGGAUGUUCAUGCUCUCUUUUUAUGGUUAGUUGGCAUCAGUUAUUCUAGAGCUCCCAUAGCAAGGGGCUUCAAGAGGUAAUUAGCUCAAGGACAAGUGAGAUGUGACUGGCAUUACAUUUUAUUAUUUAUUUUUUAUUUAUUUAUUUUU
rnacentral:lncRNA from 1 species